rnacentral:rRNA from 1 species
UUAGAGUUUGAUCCUGGCUCAGGACGAACGCUGGCGGCGUGCCUAAUACAUGCAAGUAGAACGCUGAAGAGAGGAGCUUGCUCUUCUUGGAUGAGUUGCGAACGGGUGAGUAACGCGUAGGUAACCUGCCUUGUAGCGGGGGAUAACUAUUGGAAACGAUAGCUAAUACCGCAUAACAAUGGAUGACACAUGUCAUUUAUUUGAAAGGGGCAAUUGUUCCACUACAAGAUGGACCUGCGUUGUAUUAGCUAGUAGGUGAGGUAAUGGCUCACCUAGGCGACGAUACAUAGCCGACCUGAGAGGGUGAUCGGCCACACUGGGACUGAGACACGGCCCAGACUCCUACGGGAGGCAGCAGUAGGGAAUCUUCGGCAAUGGGGGCAACCCUGACCGAGCAACGCCGCGUGAGUGAAGAAGGUUUUCGGAUCGUAAAGCUCUGUUGUAAGUCAAGAACGGGUGUGAGAGUGGAAAGUUCACACUGUGACGGUAGCUUACCAGAAAGGGACGGCUAACUACGUGCCAGCAGCCGCGGUAAUACGUAGGUCCCGAGCGUUGUCCGGAUUUAUUGGGCGUAAAGCGAGCGCAGGCGGUUUGAUAAGUCUGAAGUUAAAGGCUGUGGCUCAACCAUAGUUCGCUUUGGAAACUGUCAAACUUGAGUGCAGAAGGGGAGAGUGGAAUUCCAUGUGUAGCGGUGAAAUGCGUAGAUAUAUGGAGGAACACCGGUGGCGAAAGCGGCUCUCUGGUCUGUAACUGACGCUGAGGCUCGAAAGCGUGGGGAGCGAACAGGAUUAGAUACCCUGGUAGUCCACGCCGUAAACGAUGAGUGCUAGGUGUUGGAUCCUUUCCGGGAUUCAGUGCCGCAGCUAACGCAUUAAGCACUCCGCCUGGGGAGUACGACCGCAAGGUUGAAACUCAAAGGAAUUGACGGGGGCCCGCACAAGCGGUGGAGCAUGUGGUUUAAUUCGAAGCAACGCGAAGAACCUUACCAGGUCUUGACAUCCCGAUGCUAUUUCUAGAGAUAGAAAGUUACUUCGGUACAUCGGUGACAGGUGGUGCAUGGUUGUCGUCAGCUCGUGUCGUGAGAUGUUGGGUUAAGUCCCGCAACGAGCGCAACCCCUAUUGUUAGUUGCCAUCAUUCAGUUGGGCACUCUAGCGAGACUGCCGGUAAUAAACCGGAGGAAGGUGGGGAUGACGUCAAAUCAUCAUGCCCCUUAUGACCUGGGCUACACACGUGCUACAAUGGUUGGUACAACGAGUUGCGAGUCGGUGACGGCGAGCUAAUCUCUUAAAGCCAAUCUCAGUUCGGAUUGUAGGCUGCAACUCGCCUACAUGAAGUCGGAAUCGCUAGUAAUCGCGGAUCAGCACGCCGCGGUGAAUACGUUCCCGGGCCUUGUACACACCGCCCGUCACACCACGAGAGUUUGUAACACCCGAAGUCGGUGAGGUAACCUUUUGGAGCCAGCCGCCUAAGGUGGGACAGAUGAUUGGGGUGAAGUCGUAACAAGGUAGCCGUAUCGGAAGGUGCGGCUGGAUCACCUCCUU